UCGAACUCCUGAUCUCAGGUGAUCUGCCCUCCUUGGCCUCCCAAAGUGUUAGGAUUACAGGCGUGCCACUGCGCCUGGCCAAAAGCUUUCUUGUAGAAAAGAAUCUCGCUGUGUUGCACAGCCUGAUCUCAAACUCUUGGCCUCCAGCAGUCCUCCUGCCUUAGCCUCCUGAGUAGCUGUGAUUACAGGCACAAGCCACUGCACCCAGCCAGUACCACAAAACUUUAUUACUAUUGCCCUGUAGUCAUUUUGCAAUCAGUAAGUGUGCAUUUGCUGUGCAGACUUUAUUCCUCUUUGUCAAGAUUAAUUUCUUUGUUGUGGAUCUAUUCCAUUUACAUAUCAGUUUUAUAAUCAACAUGCAAAUUUAAGCAAAACUUCAUCUGGAAUUUUGAUGGGGACUGCAUUAAAUCUGUAGAUCCGAUUGCAAAAUAGUGCCAUCUUAGCAAUAUUAAGCCUUUCAAUCAGUGAUAAAAUGCCUUUUCAUUUAUUUAGGACUUAAUUAUUUUUCUUCAGUAAGUUUUAUAGUUUUCAGUGUACAUAUAUAACAAUUGCUAGUGUGUAAAAAUGAAAUUUAUUUCUCUAUUUUGACCUUGUUUACUGCAGCCUUGAUGAACUCAUUUUUUAUUUCUAAUUAUAUUUCAUUAGAAUUCUUAGGAUUUUCCGCACUCAACACCAUGUCAUUUGCAAAGUUGACUUUCUUUCCAAAUCAGAUUCUUCGUAUUUAUUUUUCUAGCCUAUUUGUCCUUACUGUACCCUCCAGUGACAUGUUAAAAAUAGAAGUGGCAAGAGUGGACAACUUUCAAGUGAAUUAUGAUGUCAUGUUUGGACAUAUGCACCAGUGAAUCCUAACAACAAACACAUGAGCUUGGAAGGAGAUUCUUUUCCAACUGAGCCUUCGGUUGAGAGCCCAGCCCUGGCCAUCAGCUAAUCUGGAUUCGUGACCCAAAGAAACUGCCAUCCCUGCAUCCUCAAGCUUGGUGCAAGAUCUCUGUCAUGAACGACCCAUCGUUUCCCCUUGAGGAAUAAGGUGAAAGGGUGAAGACCAAGUUCAUUCAAAUUACUCGAUUGUGCUUUUGCCUUUUAUUUACGUGCCGCUCCUGUAGUUCUGUUCACCGUGUUUUAGUGGAGUAAUGAUGACGCCACCGCCCUGUCAGUAUGGAUGCUGGCAUCUAUGCUCUCUCGCAUCUUUACCAUUAGAUGUGGAAAAUGGCUUGACAAAAUUCAGCCACUGCAUUCUCCGGACUCUGAGUUCCCUCUUCUCAACUGAGUGUGCCUUCCACAAUUUAUGCUCCAGCACAGCCUGGGGACUCCUAAAGCAGUAUCCUUACUUAAUAGUAGGUCUCAGACCAUUUUUCAUCUUUCUCACGUAUUGCCAUCCUUCACUAAUGGACGUGUAGUGUCUGGAAUUCAUAUUCACAUGUAAUUCAUCCAGUUUUUUUGUUUGUUUUUACAUGUGGCAAGCCAUGUCUAAUCUCUGUUAGUUGUUCCACAUCUUGUUUCAUUUUUCCUGGAAUUACUCAGACAUGAUUCUUCCCCAGUUAAGUGGUUCUACUUGGCCAUGUGAAGGCGAGUGAGGACAAAUGUGAGUCCAGCACAGUGAGGAAGGCAGACAGGGGAACUGGCACUUGUAACAUUAAAGAAAAGUUAAGAAUUGGUGAAAUGUGGCUGGGCAGAGUGGCUCAUGCCUGUAAUCUCAGCACUUUGGGAGACCAAGGUGGGCGGAUCAUCUGAGGUCGGGAGUUCAAGACCAGC